AGUGAACGCUGGCGGUAGGCCUAACACAUGCAAGUCGAACGGCAGCACAGUAAGAGCUUGCUCUUACGGGUGGCGAGUGGCGGACGGGUGAGGAAUACAUCGGAAUCUACUUUUUCGUGGGGGAUAACGUAGGGAAACUUACGCUAAUACCGCAUACGACCUACGGGUGAAAGCAGGGGAUCUUCGGACCUUGCGCGAUUGAAUGAGCCGAUGUCGGAUUAGCUAGUUGGCGGGGUAAAGGCCCACCAAGGCGACGAUCCGUAGCUGGUCUGAGAGGAUGAUCAGCCACACUGGAACUGAGACACGGUCCAGACUCCUACGGGAGGCAGCAGUGGGGAAUAUUGGACAAUGGGCGCAAGCCUGAUCCAGCCAUACCGCGUGUGUGAAGAAGGCCUUCGGGUUGUAAAGCCCUUUUGUCGGGAAAGAAAAGCAGCAGGUUAAUACCCCGCUGUUCUGACGGUACCCAAAGAAUAAGCACCGGCUAACUUCGUG
rnacentral:rRNA from 1 species